GAUGAACGCUAGCUACAGGCUUAACACAUGCAAGUCGAGGGGAAACGAUGAGAGAGCUUGCUCUCUUAGUCGUCGACCGGCGCACGGGUGAGUAACGCGUAUCCAACCUGCCUCUGACCAAGGGAUAACCCGUCGAAAGUCGGACUAAUACCUUAUGCAGUCGUCGGAAGUCAUCUGAUGACGACGAAAGAUUUCAUCGGUGAGAGAUGGGGAUGCGUCUGAUUAGCUUGUUGGCGGGGUAACGGCCCACCAAGGCGACGAUCAGUAGGGGUUCUGAGAGGAAGGUCCCCCACAUUGGAACUGAGACACGGUCCAAACUCCUACGGGAGGCAGCAGUGGGGAAUAUUGGUCAAUGGGCGUAAGCCUGAACCAGCCAAGUAGCGUGCAGGAUGACGGCCCUAUGGGUGGUAAACUGCUUUUAUGCGGGGAUAAAGUGAGGGACGUGUCCUUCAUUGCAGGUACCGCAUGAAUAAGGACCGGCUAAUUCCGUG
rnacentral:rRNA from 1 species